rnacentral:rRNA from 1 species
AACGAACGCUGGCGGCAGGCCUAACACAUGCAAGUCGAGCGGCAGCGGGUCCCCGCGAGGGGAUGCCGGCGAGCGGCGGACGGGUGAGGAACACAUCGGAAUCUGCCUGGUUGUGGGGGAUAACGUAGGGAAACUUACGCUAAUACCGCAUGCGACCCUGAGUCGACGGACUUGGGGUGAAAGUGAGGGACCUUCGGGCCUCACGCGACCAGAUGAGCCGAUGUCGGAUUAGCAGUUGGCGGGGUAACGGCCCGCCAAGGCGACGAUCCGUAGCUGGUCUGAGAGGAUGAUCAGCCACACUGGGACUGAGACACGGCCCAGACUCCUACGGGAGGCAGCAGUGGGGAAUCUUGGACAA